GACGAACGCUGGCGGCGUGCUUAACACAUGCAAGUCGAACGGAAAGGCCCUGCUUUUGUGGGGUGCUCGAGUGGCGAACGGGUGAGUAACACGUGAGUAACCUGCCCUUGACUUUGGGAUAACUUCAGGAAACUGGGGCUAAUACCGGAUAGGAGCUCCUGCUGCAUGGUGGGGGAUGGAAAGUUUCGGCGGUUGGGGAUGGACUCGCGGCUUAUCAGCUUGUUGGUGGGGUAGUGGCUUACCAAGGCUUUGACGGGUAGCCGGCCUGAGAGGGGGACCGGCCACAUUGGGACUGAGAUACGGCCCAGAGUCCUACGGGAGGCAGCAGUGGGGAAUAUUGCACAAUGGGCGGAAGCCUGAUGCAGCAACGCCGCGUGCGGGAUGACGGCCUUCUGGUUGUAAACCGCUUUCGCCUGUGACGAAGCGUGAGUGACGGUAAUGGGUAAAGAAGCACCGGCUAACUACGUG
rnacentral:rRNA from 1 species